AGAGUUUGAUUAUGGCUCAGAUUGAACGCUGGCGGCGUGCCUUACACAUGCAAGUCGAACGUGAAAGUACUUUCGGGUACGAGUAAAGUGGCGCACGGGUGAGUAACGCGUGGAUAAUCUACCAAGAAGUUUGGGAUAACAGCUGGAAACGGCUGCUAAUACCGAAUACGCUGCAUAUCUAUCUUAUGUGGGAAAGAUGGCCUCUGCAUAUGCUGUUGCUUUUUGAUGAGUCCGCGUACCAUUAGCUGGUUGGUGGGGUAAAGGCCUACCAAGGCGACGAUGGUUAACUGGUCUGAGAGGAUGAUCAGUCACACUGGAACUGGAACACGGUCCAGACUCCUACGGGAGGCAGCAGUGGGGAAUAUUGCGCAAUGGGCGAAAGCCUGACGCAGCGACGCCGCGUGAGGGAUGAAGGUCUUCGGAUCGUAAACCUCUGUCAGCAGGGAAGAACGGUCACUGUGCUAAUCAGCAGUGAAUUGACGGUACCUGCAAAGGAAGCACCGGCUAACUCCGUGCCAGCAGCCGCGGUAAUA
rnacentral:rRNA from 1 species